CCUACGGGAGGCUGCAGUAGGGAAUUUUGCGCAAUGGGCGGAAGCCUGACGCAGCAACGCCGCGUGAUUGAUUAAGCCCCUCGGGGUGUAAAGAUCUGUCAGCGGGGACGAAACUUGACGGUACCCACAGAGGAGGCACCGGCUAACGCGGUGCCAGCAGCCGCGGUAAUACGGAGGGUGCAAGCGUUGCCCGGAUUCAUUGGGCGUAAGGGGUUCGUAGGUGGCAUAGUAAGUCGGGUGUUAAAGGCAGAGGCUCAACGUCUGUUCGGCACUGGAUACUGGUAGGCUGGAGUGCGGGAGGGGUAAGGGGAAUUCCUGGUGUAGCGGUGAAAUGCGUAGAUAUCAGGAGGAACAUCGGUGGCGUAAGCGCUCUGCUGGGCCGUAAUUGACACUGAGGAACGAAAGCCGGGGGAGCAAAUGGGAUUAGAUACCCGUGUAGUC
rnacentral:rRNA from 1 species